CGACACCAGCACUGCCGAGCUGUGUGACCUUGAGCAAGACAGUUAGCCUCUCUGAACCUCAGUGUCCUUCUCUGUAGGCUGGAGAUUGAUAUACCUUCAUUAUCGGGGUAUGAGAGUGUUAUAAAUCCAUGAACUGGAAGAUGCUUUCUUAUAACUCAGAGAAAAGAGAUGAAAAUGAAUCAAAGAACAGGAAGGAGACAAGCUCAGGAGGGUAAGACUCCUGGGAAUUUGGAAGCUGAGACUUGAGGAGCAGAGGCAUCUAGCUGUGUAAACACAGAGUUUCAGUGGCAGCACCCUAAAUGCUUAGCUGAUAGAUCCGGAAUUAAAUACAGACCUAGAAACUGGAGUUGGAAAACUUCCUGGCAGCACUCCUUCCCUGCCAUCCCGGUGAUCCCCUUCUGGAUGGAGGGCGUGGAGCUCAGCACAUUCACGUCUGCAGCCCUGAACUGCUUGUCUUUUGCCUUGUUAUCUUU
rnacentral:lncRNA from 1 species